rnacentral:rRNA from 1 species
GACGAACGCUGGCGGCGUGCUUAACACAUGCAAGUCGAACGGAAAGCCCCUGCUUGCUGCAUACUCCAAUGGCGAACGGAAGAGUAACACGUCGGUUAUCUACCCUGCACUUCGGCAUAGGCCUGGGAAUCUGGAUCUAAUCCCAUACAGAAUCCAUUUUUAUUGUGCUUGUUGGAAAGUUUUUUCGGUGUAGGAUGAGCUCGCGGCCUAUCAGCUUGUUGGUUUGGUUAUGGCCUACCGAGGCGGCGACGCGUAGCCGGCCUGAGAGGGUGGACGGCCACACAGGGACCUAGAUACGGCCCAGACACCUACGGGUGGCAGAAGUGGGGAAUAUUGCACAAGGGGCGCAAGCCUGAUGCAGCGAGGCUGCGUGUGGGAUGACGGCCUUCGGGUGGUAAAACCCUUUCGAUAGGGACGAAGCUUUUUGUGACGGUACCUAGAUAGGAAGCAACGGCUAACUACGUG